rnacentral:rRNA from 1 species
GAUGAACGCUGGCGGCGUGCCUAAUACAUGCAAGUCGAACGGGGUGUUUGAGCAAUCGAACACUUAGUGGCGAACGGGUGAGUAACGCGUUGGUGACCUGCCCCAAAGCGGGGGAUAACAGCCUGAAAGGGUUGCUAAUACCGCAUAUGAUCAAGAGAGACUAGAAGCUUUUGAUUAAAGGAGAAAUCCACUUUGGGAGGGGCCUGCGUCCCAUCAGCUAGUUGGUAGGGUAAAAGCCUACCAAGGCUAAGACGGGUAGGGGACCUAAGAGGGUGACCCCCCACACUGGCACUGAAACACGGGCCAGACACCUACGGGUGGCU